CGUCCGAGCUUCUACAAUAAGCAGACUUCACCCAGACUCCUACAAGAGCCAGACUUCGUCCGAACUUCUACAACAGAAUUGAAUACCAAACUCCUCCAACAUUCGACCUUCCACAGUAUCCUCAAGACUCUUCCAGCGGAUGAGCCUCUACAUCCGAACUCCACUGUCGGUCGACCCUCUACCAGAUUCCUCAUGAAAUCGGACCUCUCCGAUGGACAAUCCCCGUCCGAGCUUCUAUAGCAGAUGACUUUCGCCUGCAACAUCAGCACCCAAGGCACUCGAUAACAAUAGACUCAUCAGCAACCUCAGAAACAUCCGACCUUCUCUUAGAUUGCUGAGACAGAGAGCCAUUCUGCACCAUCAAACAUCUCAGCCAAGCUUCAGCCGUCAUGUCUGAACUCUCUGGCAAGUCACGACAAUGGCCACUACCCCACUCCACUCUCUGUAACAGAUUUCACGUGGCCCCACCACUCUCUGGCAAGUCAUGACAACGGACACCACUCCACUCUCCAUAACAGAUUCCACGUGGCCCUGAACGACCCCCUGACGCCACUACAAUUCGUAACAAACUCCGCAUGGCCCCGAACGGCCCACUACCAGUCUGUUAUAGAUGUUGCUGUCAAUUAGUUACGCCCUCUGUCUAUAAAAAAGGACCCCCAGAUAUGUUCUUCUCCAAGCUCUAAAGUCUAUCUCGAAACUCUACUACAAUCCUAUUCGAGUGCUUCAUUUUUGUUGAGGCAGAGUAUUGACUUAAGCAUCAGAGGGUCUUACCGGAGCACCCUCAACUCUGAUUUAGACUUCCCUUGCAGGUUCCGACGGCGGACGCGAUCCCCUCGACUCUAGCUUCUCCGACAUCGGUGAAAUUCUGCACCAAUAGAAUUGGCGCUAGAGGAAGGGUUGUGUCUUCGCAAGACCCUUGUUCUUAAAGGAGUACUCAACGGGACUGUCUCUAGUCAUAUUCUUUAACAUCUUCAUCUCCUUCUCCUGCC
rnacentral:lncRNA from 1 species